UACAGAGAGUGCAAACGUUGUUCGGAAUUACUGGGCUUAAAGAGCACGUAGGCGGUGUCGUAAGUGUCAGGUGAAAUCCCACGGCUCACCCGUGGAACUGCCUGGCAUACUGCGAUGCUAGAGUGUGGUAGGGGAGAGCGGAACUCUUGGUGGAGCGGUGAAAUGCGUAGAUAUCAAGAGGAACACCGGUGGCGAAGGCGGCUCUCUGGUCCACAACUGACGCUGAGGUGCGAAAGCUAGGGGAGCAAACGGGAUUAGAUACCCGGGUAGUCC
rnacentral:rRNA from 1 species